rnacentral:rRNA from 1 species
GACAGAGGGUGCAAACGUUGUUCGGAAUUACUGGGCGUAAAGCGCGUGUAGGCGGCUAAGUAAGUCGGGCGUGAAAUCCCACGGCUCAACCGUGGAAGUGCACUCGAAACUGCAUAGCUAGAGUCCUGGAGAGGAAGGUGGAAUGCUUGGUGUAGAGGUGAAAUUCGUAGAUAUCAAGCGGAACACCGGUGGCGAAGGCGGCCUUCUGGACAGUGACUGACGCUGAGACGCGAAAGCGUGG